AACAGCCGCGGUAAUUCCAGCUCCAAUAGCGUAUAUUAAAGUUGUUGCAGUUAAAAAGCUCGUAGUUGAAUUUCGGGAUCAGUAGGUUGGUCAUGCCUUCGGUAUGUACUGGUCUUACUGAUUCCUCCUUCUUGAAGAUCCGUAAUGUCAUUAGUUUGGUGUUGCGGGGAAACAGGACUGUUACUUUAGAAAAAAUUAGAGUGUUUAAAGCAAGCUCGCGCUUGAAUACAUUAGCAUGGAAUAAUGAAAUAGGACGUUUGAUCCUAUUUUGUUGGUUUCUAGGAUUGACGUAAUGAUUAAUAGGGAUAGUUGGGGGCAUUAGUAUUCAAUUGUCAGAGGUGAAAUUCUUGGAUUUAUUGAAGACUAACUACUGCGAAAGCAUUUGCCAAGGAUGUUUUCAUUAAUCAAGAACGAAAGUUAGGGGAUCGAAGACGAUCAGAUACCGUCGUAGUCUUAACCAUAAACUAUGCCGACUAGGGAUCGGAUGAUGUUAAUUUUUAAUGACUCAUUCGCGCCUUAC
rnacentral:rRNA from 1 species